rnacentral:rRNA from 1 species
GACGAACGCUGGCGGCGUGCUUAACACAUGCAAGUCGAACGGAAAGGCCCUGCUUGUGUGGGGUGCUCGAGUGGCGAACGGGUGAGUAACACGUGAGUAACCUGCCCUGGACUUUGGGAUAACUUCAGGAAACUGGGGCUAAUACCGGAUAGGAGCUCCUGCUGCAUGGUGGGGGUUGGAAAUUUUCGGCGGUUGGGGAUGGACUCGCGGCUUAUCAGCUUGUUGGUGGGGUAGUGGCUUACCAAGGCUUUGACGGGUAGCCGGCAUGAGAGGGUGACCGGCCACCUUGGGACUGAGAUACGAACCAGACUCCUACGGGAGGCAGCAGUGGGGAAUAUUGCACAAUGGGCGGAAGCCUGAUGCAGCAACGCCGCGUGCGGGAUGACGGCCUUCGGGUUGUAAACCGCUUUCGCCUGUGACGAAGCGUGAGUGACGGUAAUGGGUAAAGAAGCACCGGCUAACUACGUG